GACGAGGUGGCCGAGUGGUUAAGGUGAUGGACUGCUAAUCCAUUAGGCUCUGCCCGUGUGGGUUCGAAUCCCAUAGUCGUCG
rnacentral:tRNA from 1 species